UACUUAAACCAUCGCGAACUCGUCCAAGUUGCUUCGGCGGCGCGGCCUCCCUCACGGGGGCGCCGCAGCCCCGCCUCUCCGGAGGUGUGGGGCGCCCGCCGGAGGUACGAAACUCUGUAUUAUAGUGGCAUCUCUGAGUAAAAAACAAAUAAGUUAAAACUUUCAACAACGGAUCUCUUGGUUCUGGCAUCGAUGAAGAACGCAGCGAAAUGCGAUAAGUAAUGUGAAUUGCAGAAUUCAGUGAAUCAUCGAAUCUUUGAACGCACAUUGCGCCCGCUAGUACUCUAGCGGGCAUGCCUGUUCGAGCGUCAUUUCAACCCUCAAGCCCUGCUUGGUGUUGGGGCCCUACGGCUGCCGUAGGCCCUGAAAGGAAGUGGCGGGCUCGCUACAACUCCGAGCGUAGUAAUUCAUUAUCUCGCUAGGGACGUUGCGGCGCGCUCCUGCCGUUAAAGACCAUCUUUAACUCAAGGUUGACCUCGGAUCAGGUAGGAAUACCCGCUGAACUUAAGCAUAUCAAUAA
rnacentral:rRNA from 1 species